UACGUAGGGUGCAAGCGUUAAUCGGAAUUACUGGGCGUAAAGCGUGCGCAGGCGGUUUUGUAAGUCUGUCGUGAAAUCCCCGGGCUCAACCUGGGAAUUGCGAUGGAGACUGCAAGGCUAGAAUCUGGCAGAGGGGGGUAGAAUUCCACGUGUAGCAGUGAAAUGCGUAGAGAUGUGGAGGAACACCGAUGGCGAAGGCAGCCCCCUGGGUCAAGAUUGACGCUCAUGCACGAAUGCGUGGGGAGCAAACAGG
rnacentral:rRNA from 1 species